rnacentral:rRNA from 1 species
CCUACGGGUGGCAGCAGUGAGGAAUAUUGGUCAAUGGCCGUAAGGCUGAACCAGCCAAGUCGCGUGAGGGAAGACUGCCCUAUGGGUUGUAAACCUCUUUUAUGCGGGGGUAAAGGUGUCCACGUGUAGAUGUUUGCAGGUACCAUACGAAUAAGGAUCGGCUAACUCCGUGCCAGCAGCCGCGGUAAUACGGAGGAUCCGAGCGUUAUCCGGAUUUAUUGGGUUUAAAGGGUGCGUAGGUGGGGUGUUAAGUCAGUUGUGAAAGGUUGGGGCUCAACCGUAAAAUGGCAGUUGAAACUGGCAGUCUAGAGUACAGUAGAGGUAGGCGGAAUUCGUGGUGUAGCGGUGAAAUGCUUAGAUAUCACGAAGAACUCCGAUUGCGAAGGCAGCUCACUGGACUGCAACUGACACUGAGGCUCGAGAGUGUGGGUAUCAAACAGGAUUAGAUACCCUUGUAGUC